CUACCCACCACCCCCAAAAUCCCUCCUCCCACCAACUACCUUCCACCCUUACAGUCCCUCCUCCCACCAAACUGGCCAUCACCCCACAGUACCUCCUCCGCCCACCCCAAUCACUACUCCAACCAACUGUCCCUCACCCCACAAUCCCUCCUUGCAUUAACUGCUCCCUACCCACAACCCUUCCUCCCACCAAACUACCCCACCCCCACCCCACCCCAAUCACUCCUCCAACCAACUACGUCUCCCACCCCAACCACUCCUCCCACCAACUGUCCCUCACUGCACAAUCCCUCCUUGCAAUAACUGCUCCCUACCCACAACCCUUCCUCCCACCAAACCACCCCACCCCAUCCUCCCAUGCACCUAUAUACUAACCGCUCCCACCACACAAUCCCUCCCAACAGUCCACCAUCACCCACAACCCCUCUUCCCAACAAAUACUUUAAUUUUCUCAUGUCUUAUUUCCUUGCAGAAGACAUCUGAAAACGGAGAACAUUCCGUGCAAAUGAGUGAGAGAUACGAAAGAUUCUCUGCUUCGGAACCCCAAGAAGAAAAUACACAGCAGAUGUGGGAAGGCGAAAGUGGAGACAAAAUGCCAUUGCACCCAGCUUAAGAAACAGACGUUUUUUCUCGAUCAAGUACAUAGCACAAACGGAAUCCUGAGAAGGAAUUCACGCACAUCCGUAGGGUAGGAAAACCAAACUUUUCAAGUUACAUAGGAAGAAACAUGUGAUUGAUAGUAAAACUACUUUAGACACUUGAUGAUUCUAUUUGUAAAUGAUUUGACAGAUUAAACAAUCUCGUAUUAAAUAUCGUUACAAAUGUUCAGGUUUUAAAAUUGACAAUCAAGGAUGCUUUAUCCACUCUUACCGUUAUUUCCACUUUCAGUGAAGUGAAGAAUGUUAAGGAAGAUGUCGAGGUAUUAAACCAACCUAUACGAAGCUAUACCGACUAUAUUAGCCCUAUUGUUAUACCGUGUCAGAUGUUGGGAUCCGAGAUAAACGAGCUAACUGGGUCAUGCAGAAGGUCUUGUGCGCGCUAGCAUAUACAUUUUUCCCACUACUGUCU